CCCCGAAGAAAACAAAGGUUCGUAACAUAUGUAUGUACGUAGAUUGAAUGCACCUGUUGUUGACGAAAUCAAUGAUUCGAAGAAUAAAUAAUGAUCUUCAGUUUAUUACCAGUUGUAUUCAGUUUUAUACCCAUCGCUCAUAUGACGCUCUCCAAUAUCCACUAAUUUUCUGGAAGGGACAAGACGGAUAUUGUGUAAACAUUACACAACGAGAUCCCGUAACAGGAGCCGAGAAAGAUAGGAACGUUAGUUCGAAGGAUUUUUAUUCUUAUAGACGCGGCCGAGACAACACCAUUUUACGAUGUCGUGAGCUUUGCCAAAAAUUUACGGUCGACAUAAGCUGCGUGAGGACAAAUAUAUUCACUUACGAGAUGCCAUUGCGAACAACGCUGACACUGCCGAAAUUGGUAAUUAUGUUAUCUUACCACCAUCCUACGUAGGUAGUCCACGUAACAUGGAAGAAUACUUACAGGAUGCUAUCACUUUCGUGCGUAUAUGGACGACCGUUUUCAUUACUUUUACAUGUAAUCCAAAAUGGCAGGAAAUUACAUCGUUGCUAUUACCAGUACAAAUAGCAAUAUAUCGUCAUAACAUAACAGCACGUGUGGUUAAACAAAAAUUAAAGUCUUUAAUCAGCUUUAUUAUAAAACGAGGAGGAACGUUGUGAGUUGCUGCGGA